rnacentral:rRNA from 1 species
UACGAAGGGGGCUAGCGUUGCUCGGAAUUACUGGGCGUAAAGCGCACGUAGGCGGCUUUCUAAGUCGGGGGUGAAAUCCUGGAGCUCAACUCCAGAACUGCCUUCGAUACUGGAAGCUCGAGUCCGGGAGAGGUGAGUGGAACUGCGAGUGUAGAGGUGAAAUUCGUAGAUAUCGCAAGAACACCAGUGGCGAAGGCGGCUCACUGGCCCGGUACUGACGCUGAGGUGCGAAAGCGUGGGGAGCAAACAGG